rnacentral:rRNA from 1 species
AUUGAACGCUGGCGGCAUGCCUUACACAUGCAAGUCGAACGGCAGCACGGGAGCUUGCUCCUGGUGGCGAGUGGCGAACGGGUGAGUAAUACAUCGGAACGUACCCAGUAGUGGGGGAUAACGCACCGAAAGGUGCGCUAAUACCGCAUACGACCUAAGGGUGAAAGCGGGGGACCGUAAGGCCUCGCGCUAUUGGAGCGGCCGAUGUCUGAUUAGCUAGUUGGCGGGGUAAUAGCCCACCAAGGCGACGAUCAGUAGCUGGUCUGAGAGGACGAUCAGCCACACUGGGACUGAGACACGGCCCAGACUCCUACGGGAGGCAGCAGUGGGGAAUUUUGGACAAUGGGGGCAACCCUGAUCCAGCAAUGCCGCGUGUGCGAAGAAGGCCUUCGGGUUGUAAAGCACUUUUGUCAGGGAAGAAAUCUUUCAGGCUAAUACCCUUGGAAGGAUGACGGUACCUGAAGAAUAAGCACCGGCUAACUACGCGCCAGCAGCCGCAGUAA